AUGCACGCUGGCGGCGUGCCUAACACAUGCAAGUCGAACGGAGUCCAGCCUUUAAGACCUUCGGGUCAAAGAGGGGAAGACUGAGUGGCGGACGGGUGAGUAACACGUGGGCAACCUGGCUCAUAGAGGGGGAUAACAGAGAGAAAUUUCUGCUAAUACCGCAUAAGCACACACUGCCGCAUGGCAGAGGGUGAAAAGAGAAUCGCUAUGAGAUGGACCCGCGUCUGAUUAGCCAGUUGGCAGGGUAAGAGCCCACCAAAGCGACGAUCAGUAGCCGAUCUGAGAGGAUGAACGGCCACAUUGGGACUGAGACACGGCCCAAACUCCUACGGGAGGCAGCAGUGGGGGAUAUUGCACAAUGGGGGGAACCCUGAUGCAGCGACGCCGCGUGAGUGAAGAAGUAUUUCGGUAUGUAAAGCUCUAUCAGCAGGGAAGAUAAUGACAGUACCUGAAUAAGAAGCCCCGGCUAACUACGUG
rnacentral:rRNA from 1 species